rnacentral:miRNA from 1 species
AGCCGUUGUUGCAGUGAAGU